CAGUAGCCGCGGUAAUACGGAGGGUGCGAGCGUUAAUCGGAAUUACUGGGCGUAAAGCGUACGCAGGCGGUUUGUUAAGUCAGAUGUGAAAUCCCCGGGCUUAACCCGGGAACUGCAUUUGAAACUGGCAGGCUAGAGUCUCGUAGAGGGGGGUAGAAUUCCAGGUGUAGCGGUGAAAUGCGUAGAGAUCUGGAGGAAUACCGGUGGCGGAGGCGGCCCCCUGGACGAAGACUGACGCUCAGGUACGAAAGCGUGGGGAGCAAACAGGAUUAGAGACCCCGGUAGUCCCUGUCCUUAUACA
rnacentral:rRNA from 1 species